AAAGAACCAACAGGGAUUGCCCCAGUAACGGCGAGUGAAGCGGCAACAGCUCAAAUUUGAAAUCUGGCUCUCGGGCCCGAGUUGUAAUUUGUAGAGGAUGCUUUUGGUGAGGUGCCUUCCGAGUUCCCUGGAACGGGACGCCAUAGAGGGUGAGAGCCCCGUCUGGUUGGACGCCGAACCUCUGUAAAGCUCCUUCGACGAGUCGAGUAGUUUGGGAAUGCUGCUCUAAAUGGGAGGUAUAUGUCUUCUAAAGCUAAAUACCGGCCAGAGACCGAUAGCGCACAAGUAGAGUGAUCGAAAGAUGAAAAGAACUUUGAAAAGAGAGUUAAACAGUACGUGAAAUUGUUGAAAGGGAAGCGCUUGUGACCAGACUUGGGCUUGGUUGAUCAUCCGGGGUUCUCCCCGGUGCACUCUUCCGGCUCAGGCCAGCAUCAGUUCGCCCUGGGGGAUAAAGGCAUCGGGAACGUGGCUCUCUCCGGGGAGUGUUAUAGCCCGUUGCGUAAUACCCUGUGGCGGACUGAGGUUCGCGCAUUCGCAAGGAUGCUGGCGUAAUGGUCAUCAGUGACCCGUCUUGAAACACGGACCAAGGAGUCGUCUUCGUAUGCGAGUGUUCGGGUGUCAAACCCCUACGCGAAAUGAAAGUGAACGCAGGUGAGAGCUUCGGCGCAUCAUCGACCGAUCCUGAUGUUAUCGGAUGGAUUUGAGUAAGAGCAUACGGGGCCGGACCCGAAAGAAGGUGAACUAUGCCUGUGUAGGGUGAAGCCAGAGGAAACUCUGGUGGAGGCUCGCAGCGGUUCUGACGUGCAAAUCGAUCGUCAAACAUGGGCA
rnacentral:rRNA from 2 species